AUUCAGCUGACGAGUCUCAAAUAGGACGAAAUGUUACGCUCCCUGGAU
rfam:Schistosoma haematobium scaffold1398_4, whole genome shotgun sequence.